rnacentral:lncRNA from 1 species
UUGAAGUUUUGCGGUUGUCCGGUGGUGUCGGGGUUACGCCGACGAUCUGUGAGUCGACGUGUUUGGGCGGUGGGAUUUGUCCUUUUCUGGGCACGUGUCUUCUUUCCUGCUACAUGAGUGUACACGUGUUCUCAAGACUAAUGAUUUGUCUUUUCCUUCCGCCUUGAAAGACUUGGUCUGGGCCUAAGCGUUAUUUAAUAUUUAUGAGGCCUUGUUCAAUGGAGUUAAUCUUUUUAGAGGUUUGAUGGUGUAGCGGAGGUUCGCUUAGCAUCGGUUCACCGGCUUUGUUCCAUCGCUGCUCUCCUCUCUCUUUUAGUUUGGCCUUGGUUCAUGGUUCUUCUUUUCUGCUUUGGUGUUCUGAGUUCUCAGGUUGGUGAGUUUGGCCAGGUUUCGUUCGGGGCUUCGUCUUUCUGACGUGUUAUUGCUGCGACGCAUCUACUAGCUCUUUUCUAAGACUGUUGGGUCUUGGGUCGGGUUCAUGACGUCGCAAUGGUCUCGAUUUUCAGGUCUUCUCUUGCGAGGACGUACCCGGUCUUUAGUCUGUAGAUACUGGGACUGGUGUGCGAGUGUCCGCGUGUAAGAGUUGAAGGUCUUGGUUGGCGUUUUCCCUG